rnacentral:RNase_P_RNA from 1 species
GAGGUUAGCUAGACGAUCGCUGUCGUACCUUUCGGCUCGAAACGGAAACGUUUUGUGCGAAUGUUCAGCAGAGGAAAGUCCGGGCUCCACAGAGCAGGGUGGUCGGUAACGCCGACCGGCUGAAAAGCUAGGGAAAGUGCCACAGAAAACAAACCGCCGAACGGUUGUGUACGUAGACGCAAGUUUACUUACCUAUGCGUGGUAAGGGUGAAACGGCGAGGUAAGAGCUCACCGGCGAUGAAGGUGACUUCACGGCCUGGUAAACCCCACCCGGAGCAAGAUCGAACAGAGGUGAGGACGCUAGGUGCUUGCACCGACCGUGCACGGUUCGGCUCGAACCGUUACCAACUUCGGGUUGAUCGCUUGAGGCGACCAGCAAUGGGCGUCCCAGAUUAAUGAUCGUCGCUUCGCUUGCGAAGUUACAGAACCCGGCUUACCGGCUAACCUCUUUU